GAAAGAGUGAAAUGAUCAAAUCUCCAAUUUGGGAAAGCAAUCUGCUGGCUAUUAGAGUGCUAUAAUAAUGGUAUAAUUUAUAUACCUUUUAAGGUUUACAAAGUACAUUUCAAAUAUUAUUUCAUUUUAUGCUCACAAUAAUCCUGGCAGAAGUAGGUUCUGUAUUAUCAUUUCCAUUUUACAGAUGUGUAAACUGAGACUAGAGUACGAUAAAGCAGCAAGUGCCAAAUAUAGAAUUUAAUCCCAAAUCUUUCUGACUCCAGAUCUAACAUUCAAUUGGAGGCACUAUUUAACUUAGUUUUUUCUUCAUUGUUGUUAUUAUUAGAAUGGCUUCCUCUAUCACCCUCCUCACUUGCACCUAGAUUUAGAUCUCUCUUGGAACCAGAAUAUGACUUCCUACCAGCUAGAAUGAUCUAAGAAACCUUAAGGACUUCCGUCACUGAUUGAGACCGUGGUAUGGAAGAAACAACUUCGUUACUCUUUUUUUUCCCCUCCCGUGCGCCCAUUCCCAAUUCGCUCAACCUCAGUAUGAGGAUGGAUGGUAAGAGAACCCAAAAUACUUGAGGAGGAGCUUUGGGUAGGUGCCAGAAGAACUAAUCUUAAUGACUAAAUGUGAACCUCAAACAAGCCUCUAUUUCUAUAUAUAUCAGGAACACACACAUAUAGAGAAAUAUAUAUAUAUAUAUAUAUAAGAGAUGCAUACACACCCACAUACAUACACACCCAGCAGAUUAACUCAC
rnacentral:lncRNA from 1 species